AGUAGGCAAAUCCGCUUUGAUAAUGCUGGGAUGUGAUGGGGAGCGAAAUUUAGUAGCGAAGUAGCUGAUUUCACACUGUCAAGAAAAGUCUCUAUCGAGGUUAAAGGUACCCGUACCGCAAACCGACACAGGUGGGUGAGGAGAGUAUCCUAAGGCCAGCGAGAGAACUGUUGUUAAGGAACUCGGCAAAAUGACCCCGUAACUUAGGGAUAAGGGGUGCCACCAUCAGGUGGCCGCAGAGAAUAGGCCCAAGCGACUGUUUACCAAAAACAUAGGUUUCUGCUAAGUCGCAAGACGAUGUAUAGGAGCUGACGCCUGCCCGGUGCUGGAAGGUUAAGGGGAUCUGUUAGAGCAAUCGAAGCAGUGAACUUAAGCCCCAGUAAACGGCGGCCGUAACUAUAACGGUCCUAAGGUAGCGAAAUUCCUUGUCGGGUAAGUUCCGACCCGCACGAAAGGCGUAACGAUUUGGGCACUGUCUCAACAACAGACUCGGUGAAAUUGUAAUUCCGGUGAAGAUGCCGGAUACCUGCGACAGGACGGAAAGACCCCAUGGAGCUUUACUGUAGCUUGACAUUGGGUCUUGGUACUACAUGUACAGGAUAGGUGGGAGGCUUUGAAACCAGGACGCCAGUUUUGGCGGAGCCAUCCUUGGGAUACCACCCUUGUAGUACUGGGACUCUAACCAUAGGCCAUGAAUCUGGUCUUGGGACACUGUCAGGUGGGCAGUUUGACUGGGGCGGUCGCCUCCCAAAAGGUAACGGAGGCGCUCAAAGGUUCUCUCAGUACGGUCGGAAAUCGUACGUAGAGUGUAAAGGCAAAAGAGAGCUUGAUUGCAAGACAUACAGGUCGAGCAAGGAUGAAAAUCGGACUUAGUGAUCCGGUGGUUCUGCGUGGAAGGGCCAUCGCUCAACGGAUAAAAGCUACCCUGGGGAUAACAGGCUUAUCUCCCCCAAGAGUCCACAUCGACGGGGAGGUUUGGCACCUCGAUGUCGGCUCAUCACAUCCUGGGGCUGUAGUAGGUCCCAAGGGUUGGGCUGUUCGCCCAUUAAAGUGGUACGCGAGCUGGGUUCAGAACGUCGUGAGACAGUUCGGUCCCUAUCCGUCGCAGGCGUAGGAAAUUUGAGAAGACCUGUCCUUAGUACGAGAGGACCGGGAUGGACGUACCUCUGGUGUACCAGUUGUCCUGCCAAGGGCAUGGCUGGGUAGCUAUGUACGGAAUGGAUAAGCGCUGAAAGCAUCUAAGCGCGAAGCCAACUUCAAGAUAAGAUUUCCCACCG
rnacentral:rRNA from 1 species